ACACCACCGAUCUGAACAUCAUCGGACGCCGCUAGAAGCAUCCUGCAACCAGUACCGUCACAUUUGUCACUGUUGGAUGGAGAUUAGAUCAUCGACUGCAUCUGUUCCCUCCCUCUUCGCCAUCGACUGCAUUCUUGUCACUUUCGAAGGGGUAUUUAUGGAGGGGCUCCUUUUUGUUUCAGUGUGGCGAUUUUUGGGUUUCUUGUGACAUACGUGGCGUUUUUUUGGGGUUUAGGUAUUGUAAGUCGCUUCUUUGAAUUCCCAUCUUCUCUUCUCUUGUCGUCUUCUUUCUCUGUGUUUUGUUGUUCUUUCAUGUAAUAGAUUCUUCCAUUGAUAUUCCGUCAUCUAUGAUUUCCCUUUCUAUGACCUUUGAUUUCCUAUAUUUUCGUUAUGUCUGACGUCUGUUUGUAGAUAUUGUCCUCGCUGCUGUCCUCUUCUUCUUCCUCAGCUUUGCGUCUGGGCUUUUACAGGUAAUACAUUUGUCAUUGAUCACUGCCACUUUCUGUGAUCUAUCUAUACAAGUUCUGCAAUGGAGGUCACUACAUUUAACCAGACAUUCCCAGAUGCUGAAUGUCCAUUUCUUUUCCCUAAAUUAAAACUUCAAAACGAAAAUUUCAUUGUGUGUUGAAACUUGAAUGAGGACAUUAAUGGUGGUACUUCAUUGAAUAGUCGAUUCGAUGGUGAUUCAUGAUGGGGUUUUGAUUUUUGAUAUCUCUAAUGAACAUGGAUCAAUGUAGAUUUAGAGUUUGUUGUUCUUCAUGAUUGCAUCUUCCUUUCUAAUAAAGGUGAAAAAUCCGUGCGUACUUUUUGUUUUUGGUAAACACAUUGCUCAACUUUGGCCUAUUAAAUACGUUGUUCUACAAAAUCCAUCCAUAUAUUAACUCAAAAUUGGUGUAAAACCAAAACAAGAGAUGAUUGCAUCAAAAAACCAGAUUAUUGAUUCCUACUCUAAUAUGGAAGUACAAAUAUCAUUAAGAAUCAGGAUUAGAUAAUUGACUGUUAAAAAAAAAAAGAUUAAUGUUCAGCACAUAUGACCCUGAAUUAACAAAAUGAUACAAGUGUAAAUGCAAAUAAACCCUCAUUUGUUUUUUUAUCCAAAACUCUCCACUUUUACAAACUGUAAUGUUUCUUUCUUGUAUUUAUGCAAGAACCUUUGUUUGUAACAAAUAUUAAAAUUAUAUUUUUAGUUUUAUAUUUUAUAAUUAAAAAUCAUGAGUAUCAUAUAUGCAAUGCUGUCAAGUUAUUGAAGGUUUAAAGUGGUAGUCUGAUAGACUUAUUGACUUAUUUCAUGUGUAUUUUACAUUCCAUUACGAUAUAGUGUGCUGCAAUUUCCAUGUUUUUUUUGCAGAUACAUGAUGAUUAAUAAAAGGACAAAAUGAGUUACAUGAAGAUAGCAUAAUUCACAGGGUUGUAUGAGAGUAUGAGAUGAGUCCAAAUAUUCGCAACUAAUCAACAUAAAAAUUGACCAAAUCCAUGAUAGAAUCUUACCUAUAGGAGAACGGCGACUACGAAGAACUUCAUGGAAUUGUGAACGAAGGUUGGCUGCUGAUUCGACGGACUCCAUCUUCUCAAAAUUAUUACAAGCAACAGUGACGUGAACACGUUGAGAUGAUAUGUUGUGUUUAUAUUUAUAGCAGAGUAAUUGCGAUACGGGAGCAGGUCAGAGUGAUGGAACACCUCCGAUAUGUGGUGGUUGUACUUGUAGGUGAUAGCAUGCGAAUGGAGGGACCAAAUUACUAAAAUGGUUCCCGUGGUUUGUAAAAAUUUCACGUUUGGUUUUUACAUUUUCUUUUACACUUGGACGAUCCCUAAGUUUUGAUUUUAUUAUGUUUUUUAUCCCUCA